GCAGGAGCCGGGGGAGGGCUCCGGGGGGGCCCCGACACCGCCCCGGUCCCCCCCCGCCGGCCGGCGGCGUGGGGCGCGCACCUGCGUGGGGCCGAAAACAUCGCCCGAAGACACCGGGAUUUGUGCAGAGGUGAAGCUGAACGGUGCAAACUCAGAUAUAUAAUAACUAACUGCCUCUGCCAGUGGGCUCGUCACCACCGGGGCUCAACUUCGCUUCAACUGUCGCUGGAUUGCUCGAGGCGGAGGAAAGAGAAACUGAGGCACUGCGGGUGCAGCUGCGUCCCCAAGGGGAAAAAGCAGAUGCAAGAAACUUGGGAAAACUUUUGAAAUGUGUCCAUGGCCAUGGGUGAUUCCUCUGUCCCUUUGCAGUACGACAAGAAAAUUGGAAGUGACAAGGGUUUAUUGUUGGGACUGCCUUUUCUUUGAUCAUUUUCCUUGCUCUGUCUGCUCACAGCAAAUGAAGUAAAGAGCUGUGAAUG